ensembl:lncRNA novel transcript
AGAAUCGCUCAGCUGGUUGACGUUAUCCAGGAGAAUCGCGUUGGACUCAGGGAAGACCUGCACAGGAUCCGGUUGUUGCUGGGUCCGAGGGCUGUAGGGAGUGGAGAAAGGGCCGGGAAUCGUUAAGCGGGGUCUGGGAGAACGACUUGCAGAUUCACAUUUCCUCCGCCCGCGGAUGUCCUCCGGGGAAUUGAGGCUUCCUUCCUCAGCUGCCCUUGUUUCUCUCUUUGCUCCCGCUGCCCCUUGUUCUAUUUCGUUUCUUACUAUUUAUGUAGUCUCAUUGCUUGCGGUUAUAAUGGCCACCACUUUAUUGAGCAUUCACUGUACAAGCAUCUCGCAGCAGGCGCUCAUAAGCGUCUGGCAAUUCUUGGCCACUGCUGGAAGCCCAAUCAUUCUUUUACCAUGGAAGGGAUUUGAGAGCCUACAUAAUCCUGUACUCUAAUAGCCACAUGGUACUCUUGGGGCUAGGAAGAUAAAGUAGAAAUUGAAAUUGCUGUUGUAUUAGUUUUCUGAAGCUGCCAUAACCAAGUACCUCACACUGGAUAGCUUAAAACAACAGAUAUAUUUUCUCGCUUUCUGGAGUCUGGAAGUCAGAAAUCAAGAUGUCAGUGGGGUCUUGCUUCUUCUGAGACUCUGGAUAGAAUCCUUCCUGCCUCUUCCUAGCUUCUAGUGGGAGCCAGCAAUCAUUGGUGUACUUUCGCUUGUAGCUGCAUUACUCCAUUCUCUUCCUCUGUUAUCAAAUGGUAUACUCCCUGUGUGUCUCUGUCUCUGUGUGUUUUAUAAGGACACCAGUCCUGUUAGGUAAAAGGCUCACCUUACUCCAGUAUGACCUGAUCAUGACUAAUCACAUCUGCAAUGACACUCUUUCCAAAUAAGGUCACAUUUUGAGGUUCCAGGAAGGACAUGAAUUUUGGGGGCGACACUAACCAACCCAGUACAGCUGUUAAAGUUCUCAAGAAGUAGACAAACGAAGAGUUGACAAAUAAAUGUAGUACAAGUGGAUUCAAAUUUAGUUCAGUUUUAUCUGAGUGUUCAUAGACAUUCGGAGUAUCCCUUUAAAGGAUGGGUAGGGGCCGGGCGUGGUGGCUCACGCCUGUAGUCCCAGCCCCUUGGGAGGCCGAGGUGGGCGGAUCAGCUGAGGUCAGGAGUUUGAGCCCAGCCUGGCCAACAUGGCGAGACUCCGCCUCUACUAAAAAUACAAAAA